rnacentral:rRNA from 1 species
GGAAGUAAAAGUCGUAACAAGGUCUCCGUUGGUGAACCAGCGGAGGGAUCAUUAUCGAGUUAUUCAACUCCCAAACCCUAUGUGAACUUACCACUUGUUGCUUCGGCGCGCGCUUCGGCGCCGCCGAGGACACUUAAACUCUUUGUUUUUAUAAGCAUUUCUGAGUGGCCGAAAGGCAAAAAUACAAAUGAAUCAAAACUUUCAACAACGGAUCUCUUGGUUCUGGCAUCGAUGAAGAACGCAGCGAAAUGCGAUAAGUAAUGUGAAUUGCAGAAUUCAGUGAAUCAUCGAAUCUUUGAACGCACAUUGCGCCCGCCAGCAUUCUGGCGGGCAUGCCUGUUCGAGCGUCAUUUCAACCCUCGAGCCCGACUCUUUUGAGGACGGCUCGGCGUUGGGGGACGGCAGACUCCCCCCGGCAUCUCGCCGGGGACGCCGCCCCCGAAAUCUAGUGGCGGCCCUCCGAGGCGACCUCUGCGUAGUAACUUGUUCUCGCACCGGAAAGCUCAGAGCGGCCACGCCGUAAAACCCCAACUUUUUUCAGGUUGACCUCGAAUCAGGUAGGACUACCCGCUGAACUUAAGCAUAUCAAUAAGCGGAGGA